AACGAACGCUGGCGGCAUGCCUAACACAUGCAAGUCGAACGAAGGCUUCGGCCUUAGUGGCGCACGGGUGCGUAACGCGUGGGAAUCUGCCCUUUGGUUCGGAAUAACAGCUGGAAACGGCUGCUAAUACCGGAUGAUGACGAAAGUCCAAAGAUUUAUCGCCAGAGGAUGAGCCCGCGUUGGAUUAGGUAGUUGGUGGGGUAAAGGCCUACCAAGCCGACAAUCCAUAGCUGGUCUGAGAGGAUGAUCAGCCACACUGGGACUGAGACACGGCCCAGACUCCUACGGGAGGCAGCAGUGGGGAAUAUUGGACAAUGGGCGCAAGCCUGAUCCACCAAUGCCGCGUGAGUGAUGAAGGCCCUAGGGUUGUAAAGCUCUUUUACCCGGGAAGAUAAUGACUGUACCGGGAGAAUAAGCCCCGGCUAACUCCGUG
rnacentral:rRNA from 1 species